UUUUGGACAAUGGACGAAAGUCUGAUCCAGCAAUGCCGCGUGCAGGACGAAGGCCUUCGGGUUGUAAACUGCUUUUGUACGGAACGAAAAAGUCUUUUUUAAUAAAGAGGGCUUAUGACGGUACCGUAAGAAUAAGCACCGGCUAACUACGUGCCAGCAGCCGCGGUAAUACGUAGGGUGCGAGCGUUAAUCGGAAUUACUGGGCGUAAAGCGUCCGCAGGCGGUUCUAUAAGACAGAUGUGAAAUCCCUGGGCUCAACCUAGGAACUGCAUUUGUGACUGUAGAGCUAGAGUACGGCAGAGGGGGAUGGAAUUCCGCGUGUAGCAGUGAAAUGCGUAGAUAUGCGGAGGAACACCGAUGGCGAAGGCAAUCCCCUGGGACCUGUACUGACGCUCAGGACGAAA
rnacentral:rRNA from 1 species